GUGGCAAAGAGCAACCAAAGAACUACAUUGAUGUACAAAGGGGACUCCUGCAUUUUCCCUGUUCCCUGAAGAGAUUAAGAACUUCUGAGUGGAGACAAACGGGAAAAAAUAUUGUUUGUGGAACCUUGCCUAGGCUUGAUGAGAAGGAGGAAAGAGCUCUUACAGCUAAAACUAAUCAGUAACUGUGGUUUCUCCAAACAUGGAAGAAUUUUCCAUCAACAGUCACAAUGGGGAGUGUCUAGUUGGACCAUCAUGGAAGAUGGAUGGGCCUCAAGAAGGUUAGCAGGAUUAAAUGAAGCAAAAAGGAUGGAGCCCUAAUUCAAUAGGAAUGAUGUGAUUAUAAGAAGAGAAAGAGACACCAAAGCACAGAGGCAAGAUGGUGUGAGGACACAAUGGGAAGGUGGCAUCUGCAACUAAGGAGAGAAGCUUCUGGAUAAACCAAAUUUGCUGACCUCUUAACCUUGGACAUCCAGUCUCUAGAACAGUGAAAAAAUUAAUUUCUGUGGUUUAAACUACAUAGUCUUUGCAACUUUGUUAUGGCAGCCCUGGCAGACUAUCAGAAAUGCAUUAAGAUGUUCACAAAAAGAAAUGUACAAAAUGUUCUUAGCAACAUUCUUGUAUUUGGUUAUUCUGAGAAUAACCAAAGCCUAAAAACAGUCCAGAUGUCCAUCAAGUGUAAUUUGUAUAAAUUAUGUUUAUUUAUUCCAAACAAUGUAAUUUGGCAAUGAAAACUAACAGAUUACAGCUAGACACAGCAACAGGAAUAAAUCACAAACAUAAUGUUGAGCCAAAGAACUAAGUACAGAUGAGUACGUCUUGAAUGAUUCUAUUCAUAUAAAGUUAUGAUGAAUCAGUCAAAAUGAAUCUGCUGUGUUAGAAAUCAGGAAUCAGGAGACUGGUUACCCUUGGGGGUCAGUAACAAAAAGGGAGUGAAAAGGGGCUUUCUGAGAUGUUGCUAAUAUCCUGAUCCUCAAUUUCAGUGAAUGCUGGUUACAUGCAUAUGUGUCUUUUGUGAAAAGCCACAGCACCAUCACUUAUGCAGCUUUUUGUGUGUAUAUUAUACUUCAAUAACAACAAGCAAGUGAUAGAUCUGGGACUCAAACCCAGGCUUUGAGGCUCCAAAUCUCUUGUCCUCUCAUUAUAUUGUUUAAAUGGUUUUAUAUUCCAAUUAUAUCAGAUAGUUUUAGAUAUCUGUAUCUAAUUCUUU
rnacentral:lncRNA from 1 species